AACGAACGCUGGCGGCAUGCCUAACACAUGCAAGUCGAACGAGACCUUCGGGUCUAGUGGCGCACGGGUGCGUAACGCGUGGGAACCUGCCCUUAGGUUCGGAAUAACUCCCCGAAAGGGGUGCUAAUACCGGAUAAUGUCUUCGGACCAAAGAUUUAUCGCCUUUGGAUGGGCCCGCGUUGGAUUAGCUGGUUGGUAGGGUAAAAGCCUACCAAGGCGACGAUCCAUAGCUGGUCUGAGAGGAUGAUCAGCCACACUGGGACUGAGGCACGGCCCAGACUCCUACGGGAGGCAGCAGUGGGGAAUAUUGGACAAUGGGCGAAAGCCUGAUCCAGCAAUGCCGCGUGAGUGAUGAAGGCCUUAGGGUUGUAAAGCUCUUUUACCCGGGAUGAUAAUGACAGUACCGGGAGAAUAAGCUCCGGCUAACUCCGUG
rnacentral:rRNA from 1 species